UACGAAGGGGGCUAGCGUUGCUCGGAAUUACUGGGCGUAAAGCGCACGUAGGCGGCUUCUUAAGUCGGUGGUGAAAUCCUGGAGCUCAACUCCAGAACUGCCUUCGAUACUGGGAAGCUCGAGUCCGGGAGAGGUGAGUGGAACUGCGAGUGUAGAGGUGAAAUUCGUAGAUAUUCGCAAGAACACCAGUGGCGAAGGCGGCUUACUGGUCCGGUUCUGACGCUGAGGCGCGAAAGCGUGGGGAGCAAACAGG
rnacentral:rRNA from 1 species